rnacentral:rRNA from 1 species
AUUGAACGCUGGAGGCAGGCUUAACACAUGCAAGUCGAGAUAGCGGCGGACGGGUAAGUUAUGUCUGGGAAACUGCCUGAUUGAGGGGGAUAACUCCUGGAAACGGUAGCUAAUACCCCAUACUAUCCGAUGUGCCCCGAUGGGCUGAGAUAGUAGGGGGGGUAAUGGCUCACCUCGGCGACGAUCCCUAGCUGGUCUGCGAGGAUGACCAGCUACACCGGAAAUGUGACACGGGCCAGCCCCAUACGGGAGGCAGCGGUGGGGAACAUUGCACAAUUGGCGCAAGACUGAGGCAGCCAGGCCGCGUGUGUGAAGAAGUCCUUCGGGUUGUAAAGCACUUGCAGCGAGGAGGCGUUACUCGAAGAAGAAGCACCGGCUAACUCCGUGCCAGCCGCCGCGGUAAUAC